GUUAAGAGCAAAGGAUGAUGCUGAAGGAGAACAAAGAGAAUUUUGAUUUCAAAGUUUAAGAACCUGGUCAUUCUGACUGAGGAGCGAUGAAGAAGAGAAAAGAAGAGGAAUAUAUUCUAUUUGUUCUAGAAAAUUCGAAAUGAAAAUAAGAAGAGAAAAGUCAUGUCUCACAUUCUCACUUUGUCUAUGCGUUCAUCGAACGCAGUGUUCGGUAGAAAAGAUUAGUAUUUAGAAUGUUAUAUAGUUGAAUAGGAUAAUGCAGGUGGAAGAAGACGAGAGUGGGGUUGAUGAAUGUGGAGGUGGUGGUGGUGAAUGGAACAAAAACGAUGGAGGGGGUUCAGGGUUUUGGGAUUCGAACUACGCAAGGUACUUUAAAGAGAUGAUGAAAGGAACAAGAC